rnacentral:sRNA from 1 species
AUAUUGUUAACAAAAUACUUUUAUGCUAAUUUUAAGGGAUUGAUGUGAAGUUUGUUUGGAUUAAAUUUGAUUGAUAAUGUGAUUGACAAUUUAAAUUAAGAAUUUAAAGUAAAAUUAAUUAUUUUGAAAAAAAGAUUUAAUGCUAAUGGCAUUGGGUUGUAAAUAAGUCCAACUCUAAGAUUUAUUUGUUAAAAUGGCUGCAAAAAUGUAUAUAUAGAUUGAACGUUUAAUUCUCACUGAACGAACGUAAUCUCUUUGAAUUUAAUUAAUAUAACUCGUUUCCUAUGAAUAUAAUAUAACUGAACUAGAUUUAAAAU